CGCCAUCUCCGCCAUCUCCAAGACCUCUCUCUCUCUGUCUCUUCACUUCAGUCUCAGCCUAAUUCAUCGAUCUGAACCUUCAGCUAGCUUACUCGAUCUGGGCAGGACUGGAGUCUCACCGAUUCUCACCGAUCCGCCGCUUCUGAGCUCUUCACCCAGGGAUCCUUCGACAGGGACAAGUGUUGAAGCCAAUUAAUGGAUGACUACAUUGUUGGGGAACUGCUGGAUGCCUGGAUUGAAGACUGGAAGAAUGGCUACUAAGUUGCUGUAUUUGAAUUAGGACUUUCUAAUUUCUAUUUCAUUGCAUAUUUGUACUUGAAUUUGGACUUCAUAUUUAAAUUUGGACACUUUGUAUUUCAAUUGUAGCUUUAAUUGUUCUUGAAGAGUACUUGAAUUUGGAUAUUAUGUAUUCUGGAUAUUCGAAUUUGCAGCUUGAACUUUGGAUUU